AUACUUACCUGGCGUAGAGGCUACCGUGAUCAACAAGGCGGUUCCUCCAGGGCGAGGCUUCCAUUGCACUACGGUUGAGCUGACCCUUGCGAAUAUCCCUAAUGUGGAUAUCUCGGACGUAUAAUUUGUUAGUCGGGACUGCGUUCGCGCUAUCCCGG